GGGCGGCCCUACGGGAGCACCGGCUGCGAGCGGAGCGGCACCGGCACCGGGACGGAGCGGCCGGGCUGGAGAACAAUAGCGGCGCUGGAAAACAAUGGAGCGGCCGCACCUCCCCGCCUAGGGAUGCGGGCCGGACGCGGGGCAGGAAUCCCAGCGCGGCGGUAGCGGAGGCACCGCGGGCAGCAGCGCGGCCGCUCCGGCGCAGGAUCCGCGGCGCGGGCGCUUUCCCCGGAGGAGCCGCACCGAACCCCGCCCGCACCUCCGAGCCCCGCCCGCCGUCCGGAGCCUUUUCCAGCGCCGGAGGGCCCGGAUCCCAGCGUGGUUCCCAUCCCAGUUCCCAGCCCAGUUCCCAGCUCGCUUCCCAGCCCGGUUCCUGUCCCAGUUCCCAGCCC